AAGUUCAGCGUUUACAAUUCACCACGUCAAUUUUUCAACCUCAUAUAAAAGCCUUUUACUCUUGUUCCCCACCCAAUAGCUCAGACUGAAUCAUUGGAGCGAAACAUUGAAGAAUUUACAAACAAACUUGCAGAAACAUUGAAGAAUUUACAAACAAACUCACGAACCACAUCUCCAACCUCGUCGUCUGUAUUUAAGGUCUAGACUCCAAACUCCUUCUCACCACUUUCUUUUAUUCUAUUUAUCAUUCGUAUACCCAACCAGCAACAAAGACUUGAGGACUUGAAUAAGCAUGGACUAAAACUUUGUCAUAUUUCUGACCCUUCAAAAUCAAAAGAAAUGAACAUACUACAAGAACACACACAUGCAUAAGUCUUAAUACCAAGAAUCCAUUUUAUUUUUUUUUAAUCUGUGAAUUUUUUUGAUUACCUUUGGUUUUGGGGAUGAGUGGCAAUAAGAGGGCAACGCACUGUCGGAGCUUCGACCCCGGGCUGACGAGGCCGCGGCUGUCGGUGCUGCAUAUGUGGCAGCAGUCGCCGGCCGCUCACGGCCAAGACAGAUGGAGUCGAGGCAAGGCAGAGCGGAGCCGGGGUGGACGAAAUGCCGCUGGAGAAGACGGCGGCUCCUGUUGGGGCGGCUGGUAGCUGGCAGGAGCCGAGGCGGCUGAGCAAGGCAACGCGGACAGAGGCGGAAUGAUGCGGCCCCAUGGAGAGGCAGUGCGAGGAGCUGCCGUACGGGGCGGCGCGGCCGAAGGCCAGGCGCCGCUGGUCAUGGCGAGAACAGAGCAGCAGCAGCGGUGGUCCUUCAUAGCCGUCUGCUGCAGGAAACGCGAGGCGGCAAGAGAGAGAGGGUGAUGGCGGAGGCGGACUCCGGCGGUGGUUCCGCCGGGUAGCGGCGACGGAGGCGGAAUUUAGGGAGGAAGAAAGGGGCGGUGAGAUUGGAGAGAAGGGGGAGGGAACCGAUUUUGAAGAAGAGAAGUGAAAGAUGUUUAGGUUUUCCUUAAAAGAAAAGUUUGACUUUCAUAAUUGGACUCCUUGUGUUUGGGCUUGCUAUAAAUCCUAGACUGGGCCGAUUUUUUUAAUCAUCUGACGGGCUCAGUUUAUGUUUGUUUUGGGCCUUAUCUGUAUUUGACCAGAAUUUCUUAAUAACCAUUGGGCUGAUUCUAAAAAAAAAAAUGCUUGGGCUUUAUUAAUUAUUUUAUAAAGUUUAUAGAUUCAUUCAAA